rnacentral:rRNA from 1 species
UACGGGGGGAGCAAGCGUUGUUCGGAUUUACUGGGCGUAAAGGGCGCGUAGGCGGCCACCGCAAGUCGAUUGUGAAAUCUCCGGGCUUAACCCGGAAAGGUCAACCGAUACUGCGGGGCUAGAGUGCAGAAGGGGCAACUGGAAUUCUCGGUGUAGCGGUGAAAUGCGUAGAUAUCGAGAGGAACACCUGCGGCGAAGGCGGGUUGCUGGGCUGACACUGACGCUGAAGCGCGAAAGCUAGGGGAGCGAACGGG